AGAAUGAGGCUCGACGUUAUGGCAGAUUUCUGUGCAGUGCUUUAGAGACUGUCAUGAGGUGGCAUAGCAGUCCAGCUAUCUAUGAAAAGGAGUGCUUCAACUUUCCAGGUUUUCUAACAGUCUUCCGUAAAGGAACUGAUAUGAAUAA
rnacentral:sRNA from 1 species